AAGGAACUGGGUACUUUCCUAAACCGCGAAUGCCAUGGUCCGCAUAGCGACCCGCGGUCGCUUUCUGCAGUAUUAGCGCAGGCGGGGUUGAACAGUGCUUCCGAAGUGCGGCGACGGUGCUGUGGUCCAAGCAGAGAGGCGGAGGCAGAAAAGAGUCAGAGAGAACGGCGUCACAUCGUGGACGGAAUGAGCGGAGUGAUUCGUGGGCUGACAGAUGGAGUGCUCGGGUACCUGGCCGACUGCGUGGCGUCCGAAGCAUCCGAAGCCCUGCGGAACAUCGCCUACGCGCUGAGGAACGCAUGAUGACGCCCGUGAAAAAUUUGUGGGGACGCUCGACUCUCACGCUUGCCUUGAAGUUGUUUUCCCCGCGUGGCUCUCCCGUCUCCUGUAAUCCGGCUUCCCCGCGUAGCUGUGCCCCCGACGGCGGUCGGUGUAGUUGCAGACUAGUACAAAGACAUGGCGCGAUUGUUACGCUGAUAACGCUACCUAACGGCAGGGUUACCCGGACGCAAAAGGCCUCUUCCUCUUUGGCUUGGGAUCGGCUGUGUGCGUGGACGGCUGGUGCGCCCGUGGGCACGCUUCGCCGGAUCGUCCCGCGAAGGCUUCGUACGGGGACAUCGGGAUGGACGAACACGAUUCGUGUUACUGUACGCUCGAACGAUUAGGCGUUAAUGUCCAGCAUCGGGGGCGAACACAUUCGCUCGAUAUUCGGCCGCGGUGAGUCGGACUACCACGAUUUGUCAGCGCCCAUUGACGUGUUCCCUUAGUAGUAAUUAGGCCAGCUGGCAUUGGUGUACAAAAGGCGCAAUAAAUGCUAUUUUCAUUGUUUG